CCUGCGCCUGUCAGCACACCCCCAGGACCAUUUCUUCACCUCCGUGCCAGCAGCUCCUUCCCUGUCUACAGCUGAAUCCAGUUUGCAGCUUUCCGACAUUCACAGAACUGGCCUCAACGCACCUGCAUCAGAAACACCAGCAUGAGUUCCAAUUUGCAAAGUGGAUCCCGCUCGGCGCCCAUUCCACAACUCUCCCAUCCGGAUGCUCCUGAGUUUUAUCCUUUUCUAAUGAACCGGUGAUCUACUUCCUGAGGAGCCCGUGCUGACCUGGACUGUGAGAGUACCUGACUUGGGGGCCUUGUCUUUGGCUUUGAAGAGUGCAGCCUGGAAGAGCACGUUUGGGCCAAGGCGGGCUGGAGCAAUCACGGCCGGCUGUGUGUGAUCCAGACACCCAGGAGGUUGUUCCCCAGGGAAGAGCCAGCCUGGUGGGCUGGAUAAAAGCCACUGUAAGGAAAACAAGCCACAGUAAGGAAAACAAGCCACUGUAAGGUCUGUCUGUCCUCCGAAGGGGACUUUCACCUCCAUGAAUGCCCAGUGGAACAUGCACUUUGCCAUUUGGACUGAUUCUGUGAUGACCAAGAUAUUCACCCACUGAAUAUGCCCGUUACCCAGGUCAUCAUAAGUGCUGUGGUUAAGGGGGCCCCCUUCACAUGGGCACCCCAUAUAUGCUUAUUGCUGCAAAACCCAAAAACUGUUCUUGGAGCCUUCGAAUUUGCUGUCUCAGCUUCCCCUCUGGGUCUUACACAUGCUAAUAGAAACAGGAGGUUUAUCAACAGGAGAAUCUGGAGAGGCCCGGUAGGGGGAGAGGCCAGGGACUUUUCCUAACAAGGUGGAAAUUUUUUAAUGGUGCUCAAGAAAUAAGGUGAAUAAAGUGAGUAUUGGAGGAGCGGAACAGAGAAAAGAGAAAGGGGAUUGUUCACGGGACUCAUCCAACGGGGUGGGAAUCUUUA